rnacentral:rRNA from 1 species
AAACGUAGGAGGCGAGCGUUAUCCGGAUUUACUGGGCGUAAAGCGCACGCAGGCGGCUUCGUUAGUCGGAUGUGAAAGCUCCUGGCUUAACUAGGAGAGGCCAUUCGAUACUGCGAGGCUUGAGGUUGGGAGAGGGGUGCGGAAUUCCCGGUGUAGUGGUGGAAUGCGUAGAUAUCGGGAGGAACACCAGUGGCGAAGGCGGCACCCUGGCCCACACCUGACGCUGAGGUGCGAAAGCGUGGGUAGCAAACAGAAUUAGAUACUCUGGUAGUCCACGCCGUAAACUAUGUCAACUAGGUGUCGGUAGUGUUACACUAUCGGUGCCGUAGCUAACGCGUUAAGUUGACCGCCUGGGGACUACGGCCGCAAGGCUAAA